CUCCGCCCCUGUCCGUGGACGUACAGGAGUGCAGCCGCCCGUCACGUCAGCAUGAGGGGACACAACAAAAUUAGGUCCACAUAGCAGAGUUCUGUGAUAACAGAGGAAGAAAACCCUCAAUCCAGCACUAGCGAUUAUUUCUAGCAGUCCUUGCGAUGCAGCGACGUGUCCGCUUUGUUGACUGUAACGUAGGAUGAAGAGUAGAUACCUGCUAGUUAGCUUGCUAGCUAAACUUAGCCAAGUCUGACAGUCGGGGUACUAGCCUGUGGCUAACAGUUUGCUUCACGCUGUGAACUGAGACGGAAACGCAGUCAUGACACAGAAACGCAGCCUGUGUUCAGUUUCUCUUGGAGUGGAGGGUAUGACCUGCGGCUCUUGUGUCCAGUCCAUAGAGCAGCGCAUUGGGUCUCUUCCUGGAGUGAUGUAUAUAAAGGUGUCUUUAGAGGGCAAGAAUGCAACUGUCCUAUUUGACCCCAGCCAUCAGAGCCCAGAGUCUCUGUCAGAGGCCAUUGAGGACAUGGGCUUUGAAUCAAGUCUGCCAGCUUCCAGCAAAGCCACACCAGUCCCUACUGAUACCCAGGUGGUCUCCACCUCAGGCAUGACACCCACAGCCCAACAGGAAGCAUUGAAGAAACUAUCACAAAUUCAGGGAGUGCUGGAUGUCAGAGAGAACCUGCCACAGACAGGCCUCACCGUCACCUUUGUUCCCUCCCUAACGUCCACGCAGCAGCUUAGUGAGGCGGUGGCCAGCGUAACACCGCCGGAGAUCCCCACACCGAGCAGCCCUUUGCAAAAAGACCCCACCUCCUCUCCAUCUCAGACCACGCGAGGCGGAGCGGCCAUCCUUAAGCUGCGCAUUGAAGGAAUGACCUGUCACUCCUGUACUACCACUAUUGAAGGAAAGAUUGGUAAACUGAAAGGGAUUGAAAAGAUCAAAGUUGUUUUAGAGUCUCAGGAAGCUACACUCGUCUACCUGCCUUACCUCCUCACUGUCCAAACCAUCAUUGAUCAAAUUGCUGUGGUUGGAUUCAAGGCCUUUGUGAAGUCUAAGCCCCGCCCCCUGCAGCUGUCCCACAGUGAAAUAGAGCGCUUUGUUGAUUCUCAAAAACAAACAGUUUCGUCGCCAUCUGAGACUUCAGAGGAGACUGAAAUCUUCAUAGACACCACACUCGUCGCGCUUAGGGUCAAAGGCAUGCACUGCCGUUCCUGUGUGGUCAACAUUCAGGACAAUAUCUCAGUGCUGCCUGGUGUGUCUUCUGUGGAGGUGUCUUUGGAGAACGAGAAGGCCUCCAUCUGUUAUGACCCCCAAAAGGUCACAGUGACUCAGCUGCAGCAGGCAAUUGAAGCACUGCCUCCAGGAAACUUUAAGACUCAACCGUGGGACGACUCGGGUCCCCUCAGUCCUGUGUCCACAUCAUCAUCAUCAUGGCCUAGAGGAGCAAACCAGGCCAAACCUGCUGUCUUGCAGCCUUGUUUUAAUCAGCCACUGGGAUCUGUAGUGAAUAUCCACAUUGAGGGAAUGACAUGCAACUCCUGUGUUCAGUCCAUUGAAGGCAUGAUCUCCCAAAAGAAAGGAGUCGUGUCAGCCCAGGUGUCUCUGACUGAUCACCAGGGGAUCUUUGAGUACGACUCUCUGCUGACCACACCAGAGGAGUUGAGGGAGGCCAUAGAGGACAUGGGCUUCGAUGCCUUUCUGCCUGAGACCAACUCUCUGCUGCCUUCACCACAUCCUCUUUCAUCAAAGUCUUCAGGUAUAGCGCCUGUCAAAGGUAAGGAGGUGGACAGUGACCACCAUAAAGAAACCCCCCAGGGACAGAGUGGAGACACAAACUCUAAAUGCUACAUCCAGAUCGGCGGGAUGACCUGUGCUUCCUGUGUGUCAAACAUCGAGCGAAAUCUCAAGAAUGAACCUGGUAUCUACUCUGUUCUGGUGGCGCUAAUGGCGAGUAAAGCAGAGGUCCGUUAUAACCCUGAAGUCACCGAUCCUAUGAAGAUAGCCGAGUGCGUGAAGGAGCUGGGCUUUACCGCCUCUGUUAUGGAGAACUAUGAAGGUUCAGAUGGAACUGUUGAAUUAGUGGUCAGGGGAAUGACGUGUGCUUCUUGUGUUCACAAAAUUGAAUCCAACCUCAUGAAAGAAAAGGGGAUUAUCUAUGCCUCUGUUGCCUUGGCAACCAACAAAGCACACAUUAAAUUUGACUCUGAAGUUAUUGGACCACGAGACAUCAUCAAGCUGAUUGAGAAUCUAGGAUUUGAAGCAUCUUUGGUAAAGAGGGACCGCACUGCCAGCCACCUGGACCACAGCAAAGAGAUACGACAGUGGAGGAAGUCUUUCCUUGUGAGCUUGGUUUUCUGUGUGCCUGUGAUGGGCAUGAUGACCUACAUGAUUAUUAUGGAUCACCAGAUGACAGUUUCACAUCAUCACAACAAUACGGCAGAGGACCGCAACCACUACCACUCCACCAUGUUUCUGGAGAGACAGCUGCUCCCAGGCCUCUCCAUCAUGAACCUCCUCUCCUUCCUGUUUUGUGUGCCAGUACAGUUCAUUGGAGGUCGCUACUUCUACAUUCAAGCCUGGAAAGCCUUGAAACACAAGUCUGCUAACAUGGAUGUGCUAAUUGUUCUGGCCACUUCCAUAGCCUUCACCUACUCAUGCGUCGUCCUAAUUGUGGCAAUGGCGGAGAAGGCAAAAGUCAAUCCCAUCACGUUCUUCGACACACCGCCUAUGCUCUUUGUCUUCAUCUCUCUGGGACGCUGGCUGGAACAGAUAGCCAAGAGCAAGACUUCUGAGGCUUUGUCCAAACUGAUGUCUUUACAAGCCACUGAGGCCACAGUUGUCACUCUCGGCAGUGAUAAUUCAGUUCUCAGUGAGGAGCAGGUGGAUGUGGAGCUGGUUCAGAGGGGUGAUAUAGUCAAAGUCGUUCCUGGGGGAAAGUUUCCAGUCGAUGGGAGGGUCAUUGAAGGACAUUCCAUGGCUGAUGAGUCCCUCAUCACAGGUGAGGCCAUGCCAGUGACAAAGAAGCCCGGGAGCUCGGUGAUUGCAGGCUCCAUUAACCAGAACGGCUCUCUGCUCGUCAGUGCUACACAUGUUGGCAUGGACACCACGCUGUCUCAGAUUGUCAAACUAGUGGAGGAGGCUCAGACUUCAAAGGCUCCCAUCCAGCAGUAUGCAGAUAAAAUUAGUGGCUACUUUGUACCCUUCAUUGUUGGCAUAUCUGUGCUUACCCUGAUCGCCUGGAUCAUCAUUGGCUUUUUGAACUUCUCUCUAGUGGAGAUGUACUUUCCUGGUUACGACAAAUCCAUUUCCAGAACUGAGGCAGUGGUUCGCUUCGCCUUCCAGGCCUCCAUAACCGUGUUAUGCAUCGCCUGUCCCUGUUCCCUUGGCUUGGCAACCCCGACAGCUGUCAUGGUGGGCACAGGGGUCGGAGCCCAAAAUGGCAUCCUGAUAAAGGGGGGAGAGCCACUUGAGAUGGCGCAUAAGGUUCAGUCUGUGGUGUUUGACAAGACCGGCACCAUUACAUACGGGGCCCCAAAGGUUGUUCAAGUAAAGAUCGCGGUGGAGGGGAAUAAGAUGCCUCGCUCCCGCCUGCUGGCUAUUGUAGGCACAGCUGAGAACAACAGUGAACACCCGCUGGGAGCCGCUAUUACCAAAUACUGCAAACAGGAGCUUGGCACAGAGUCUCUUGGCACGUGCGUGGACUUUCAGGCGGUGCCAGGCUGUGGCAUCCGAUGUCAGGUGACCAACACGGAGAAUCUGCUGAAGCAGUUGGACAGUGACAGCGAGGACAACAACCAGCGCAACAGUGUCCUAGUCCAGAUCAGCGACAGCCGGACAUGCACCAGCUCCCAUCCACUCAUCAUGGACCCACAGCCGCAAAGCCUGGUUCAGACAGCCACCUAUGUAGUCCUGAUUGGGAACAGGGAGUGGAUGAGGAGGAACUGCCUGCAAGUCAAACCUGAAAUCGAUGAAGCCAUGAUCGAGCACGAGCGCAGAGGACGCACUGCUGUUCUGGUGGCCGUAGACGACCUACUGUGUGCAAUGAUAGCCAUAGCAGACACAGUGAAACCAGAGGCUGAGUUGGCGGUCCACACGCUGACCAACAUGGGUCUGGAAGUUGUGCUGAUGACUGGAGACAACAGCAAGACAGCUCGGGCUAUUGCUGCUCAGGUCGGCAUCAGGAAAGUGUUCGCUGAGGUGCUGCCCUCCCACAAGGUGGCCAAAGUGGAACAGCUGCAGCAGGCAGGAAAGAGGGUCGCCAUGGUGGGUGACGGCGUCAACGACUCGCCCGCUCUGGCCAUGGCUGACGUGGGCAUCGCCAUAGGAACCGGGACAGAUGUAGCCAUAGAGGCCGCAGAUGUUGUGCUGAUCAGGAAUGACCUGCUGGAUGUGGUCGGCAGUAUUGACCUCUCGAAAAAGACCGUCAAGAGGAUCAGGAUCAACUUUGUCUUCGCUCUUAUCUACAACCUGGUUGGAAUUCCUAUUGCUGCUGGGGUGUUCCUUCCCAUCGGCCUGGUGUUACAGCCGUGGAUGGGCUCGGCUGCCAUGGCGCUGUCAUCCGUCUCUGUGGUUUUGUCCUCACUUCUACUCAAAUGUUACACUAAACCCACUGCAGAGAAGCUGGAGGCCAGACUGGGUACCAGCAGGCGGCAGGGCAGCCUGUCUGACGUCAGCGUCCACAUCGGCAUGGGCGAGAUGCGUCGCCCGUCCCCCAAACUCAGUCUGCUAGACCGCAUCGUCAACUACAGCCGAGCGUCGAUCAACUCGCUGCGCUCAGACAAGCAUUCGCUCAACAGCUUCGUGCUCAGCGAGCCCGACAAACACUCACUACUGGUCGGGGAGGCUGCGAGCCAUGAGGAUGACUUGUGUUGAAUCUGAGAAGCUUACAAUAGAAAGUGCAUUUAUUCAAGGCUGGGCCAUGCUAAGCCAAAAGGGUUACAUUGAAUAAUGGCCCUUCCAUCUGCUGUAGGUACCCUCAGGGCAGCACUGUUUACGUGAAGAAAGCUUGCAUGUCCCUUGUUUCCUUUUAGCUCAACCAGCUGAUCACAUUCUUCAGACUAUGAUGAGAUGUGUUUUGUUGAGGUUACCGCCCUUGGAGACACUCUUAGAGAAACCAAUUGACACUACGAUCCACAACUCUCCCGUGUCAGCUUCUUCAGAGCCAUGAAGCAGGUGCCACAUCCAGGAAGCAGAGCUGUGAUCAUCGUUGCAACUUUACAAUCUUGAACAUCUAUCCAAAGACAUUUAAACAGUGGUGCCCUUCCUAAGAGUGGACACAGUAGAGUUUUAUUUUAGUUAAUCUUCCUUAAAUGGAAAAGUGUUGUAUAAUUAUAUUCCAAACUAUUUAUACUAUUAUUUAUCUAUUUUUUUCACUACAUCAAUGUAAAACAUGAAGUUCUUGAAUCCAAAUGUAAAUUAUGAUUUUGAUGUUCCCAAAAAAAAUGUGUGAUUGCUCAGAAAGUAAUGCAUAAAAACUUUAUAACAAGCUGCAAAAGGGAUUAAGCAAAACUAAGGAGUGAGAUGUGAAUGUCAGUGUUACCUAAAGUGCCAGUUGAAGUGCCACCUGGCAAAGUCCAACACAUUCCAAAGAUAGCAGCAUUCAGAGGUUAUCUUGGACUUGAUCUUCACAAAGUGUGAGCAGAGGUCUGCUGAAGGUCGAUUUAAGCUCUAGUUUCAGCAUGUGUCAACUCGCUCCAGCUGUAGUCAGUCAUCUGUCAAUGUAUGUGAAGAUUAUUCGCUGUUGCAGUGAAGCAGAAGUUGUUACAUGGAUUAUGAUGUUCUUGGAUGUCUUUAUGAGUUGUUGCAAUUAGGCUUGUGUUUUGAAAUGGCUGAACUCUAAAUGCCGUCGUGUCCUUCCUUGUGUCUACAAUAAGCAAGGUUUUGUUACUGUUCUUGUGCGUUUCUGUCGUUACUGCAAGGCUGUCACCUUCUCAGCUUUUUUCUUUCCUUUUUAAUAGGAUUGAUGCUGUUGCACAAAGAGACUCAGCACGAACAGAGUAAACACAGCUGUGUCCCAGCAGUCUGCCAAACAAGUUACUGAGAAGCAAACGCUGAAGAAUAAUAGUAAUAGUUCAGUACUAUUUAGAUCUCACCAGAUCUGAGGAGGAUACUGAGCAGCCACUGCUGUUGUGAAUCAUUAGAAAACAGAUGGCACUGUGGAUCAACAAAGACCCUCGCUGUGGGAUUUUAUCAAGUUUAUUUCAUCUGGUUAGUCAAAACAUUACAUCACCCCAGUGUAACAAUCAGAAAACAUUCUUUGUCACAGUAUUUUAAAAUUUUUUAAUGCAAGCUAUAAAUGACUUCCUCUCGAGUUGAUUCGUCUCGCUUUGGCUGUGUUGAAAUUUCAUUUGAUUUGGUAGAUUGAAUUUUCUUAAUUGUUAGAGUUAAUUGAUCAAGCACGGACUGAAAUCGGUGUGGUCAGGGAACUGAACAGUUUAACAAGUUCUAAAAAUGUGCAGCAUUUGGAAAUCUGCUACAACAUUGUGCUUUUCUAGACACACCGCAAACAGCUGGAUUUGGAAAGUGCUACAUUCAGUCACCAUGAACACUAGAAUAACAAAUUUCACUUCAAAUAAACUGGAGAGAACUCCGAGGCGUCUCUCUGAAAACACUGAAAAUCUAGAAUUGUACUUUUACAGCGAUAAAUUCAAAGAUUACAGAGUGUUAAACAUUAAAAACACCUCACAGAAAAAAAUCACAUCAUAUGGGAAGGAGUCUGUAAAACUUUCAAAAGCAUUUCAUUUUUGUUGAAUGCACACUGGGUUCUAAAAACACAUUUGAGUUGGGUUAAAGGUGUGAGUUUUGUUGCUUUGAAUUAAUCUUUGUUUUUUGUUUUUUACCCCACUCAUCAUUUUAGAAAUGCCCGGUGAUGAGCUUGGUAUGGCACCAGAUGUGAGUUCACAGCAGUUUACAGAAGCAUUCUUUUAGACACAACAGGUUAAGCCAACUGUGUCCAAACACGUGUGUUAUCUGAAUCCUGACUGCAGAACAAAAGUACAGUGUGUGAAAUGUACCUGCCUUAUCAGCUCGCUUGGCUUGAACUUGGUCAUGGCAUGUGCUGAUAUGACUGAUAAAAGAUAAAAUAAAAGGGGGCGCUGGAGGUCUUUGCUGCAGGUAUCUUUUUGGCGGUGAGUUUAUGCAUUCCUCAAACUCACCGGACUCGAAAUGUGUCACUGUUUGAAGUCUUCAAAGCAGGCAGAAUGUUAGCGAGAUGAACCAUUUAGGUGUGGCGUUGACAAA